rnacentral:lncRNA from 1 species
AUCAGGCAUCCCUAAGUAACUGUUGAUCUUAGACUUUCUAAGGAAUCUGUGAGCAUUUGGAAAGGGAAUGUAAAAUUGUAUGUAUAUACAUUUUUCUGAACAGAAAGCCUUAAACUGUAUUCAGAUUAUUAACGAGUUUGGGAAUCUUCACAUUUUCAGAAAUGGUCUGGAUGGUGGUGUGAGCUCCUUUUAAUGAGCACUACCUAGAAGCAGAGAAGUUUCCAGAUGCCAGCAACAAGAAAUGAGAGCAUUUCAGUGGCCAUGUGUGACCUCAUUACCGCGGCUGGAGAGAUCAUCCGAGGAGAAAACUCUGUCACUGGAUGUAACAACCGCAUCAUCUGUGGACAUAAGAUACACAUUUGCUGCACCAUAAUAACUUCCACUGGGCAUAUAUGUAAUUGGAUCCUAAACAUAGCACUGAAAAAUCAACACCCUAGCAGUCUAUCUUAGGAAUACAUGAAAGAGAAAGGACUGGAAUGCUCCCGAAUGCAAUGUUCAAGGCAAAAGUCGUGCUUCUGAUCCCAGUAGGGUUGUGAUAUGCUCUCUGCAAAGCCCAUUGCUCCCGGUUUUUCAAUUACAACUUUGACUCAUAUUCCUUGAUUAGUAACAAGCAAUCAAUCAUAAUUAAUUAGUUAAAAUGUUCAACCGUUAAAAUCAUUACC